UACCCAUGAUAAGGGCAUGUAUUAAGCAAGUCCUUGAAUCUCUCCCAACAUUGAUAAAAAGUCUCAGUGUCUUUUUGGGCAAAAUUCAUGAUUUGUCUUUUUAAUGCG